UUCAACGUAUAUCAAGGUGUUGUGAACCAUCACCAAUUAUGACAAAUAGUUCGAUACUGAUGAACAAUUUCGCAUACAAGUAUAUAAUGAGUAGAUCGAGAUUACAGACGAGAUUCAUAUCUGGUUUAUAAAAUGUUUAUGGUCAUUCAAAUAAGGAAAAUGUUGUUGAUCAUUCUCACAGGAAAUGCGCUAAAAUUUGCAUGGUUAGUUAUUUGGUGAAUAUGUUUAACUGGAUCAAUACUGACACCCACGGAUAAAAGACACUGCAUGUAUUACAUAAAUGUUUUUAGAAUGUUUUUUAAAAGUUAUAUGUGUGGAGUUGCUGAGGGAAUGCCAAUUAGACAACUAUUUAUUAGAGACCAUAUAGGACGAGAAUGCAAGGAACUAUAGGGUAGAUAUAAUAUAGAAAGUAAAAUAACAAAAAUACCAAACUCCAAGGAAAAUUCAAAUAGAAAAGUCCCUUACCAAAUGGCAAAAUCAAAAAUUCAAACACAUCAAAACAAUGGAAAACAAAUGUCAUAUUCCUGACUUGGUACAGGCAUUUCCAUAUGUAGAAAAUGGUGGAUUAGACCUGGUUUUAUAGCUAGUUAAACCUCUCACUUGUAUGACAGUCGCAUAAAAUUCCAUUUUAUUGACAACAAUGUGUGAACAAAACAAACAAACAUAAUAGGUAAAAAUGUCAAAAAUAGGGGUGCAGCAUUCAACAUUGUGUUAUAACCUUAAUCACUAUAAAAACAAACAAAUAUGUCAACAAAGAAAAACAAAAUGGCAUAUAGACAAAGCAUAUAAUCAAAAAUGAAAGACAAGAAUACGAAAAACGACCACAGCACAUUGACGGGAUGCAUAAGUUCUGACCCACGCCAAAAGGAUAUUACCAAAAAAUGGACCAAACAGUAAAGGUUAAUAAAUUUCAAAGACAAAAAAAAAAAAAAAAAAAAAAGAACAGCAUAACACGUAAUUAAGAUGAUAACAACGUCAGUACCUAGAAUCUAUACUUCAAGACCAUCAUGUAUUAUUUGUGAAGUUGAUACGGAAUAUUUGUCAACAAGGUCUUGGUAUCUUCCGAUGAACUUUUUAGAAAUAGGACGAGACGUUCUUUGCCAUAUAUAUUAUUAUAACCCUGGUUCAUCAACUUUCUGCUCAGACACUUGUGACGUUUUAUAAAGUCUGAGUAGCAGCCGCAAGCUCUUGAAUACCGAAUCAGUUAGGAAAUCUAUAUCCCAUAUACAGGUGAAGUUGGUAUAAUGCUACUAAGGUGGAGGAAAUUGAUAAUUUCAAAAUUAAAAUUGUCUCAUUUGUCAUAGAUUCUGGUAGCAAUAGAUUCGAGGUAUAAUGAAUGAAUAAGAUUUGUUGGUUUCAUAAUUAUGUUUCACUUAUAUGAAACGACAUCAUUGAAUCAAAAUACAGUCCAACCACUUUCAGAUGAAUUUAAAUCAGCACCGAUAUAAAAAUAAGGAGAUGGGGUAUGAUCGCCAAUGAGACAACUAUCCACCAAAGUUCAAAUGAAGUGGAUGUAAGCAAUUAUAGGCAACCGUGCGGCCUUCAACAAUGAGAAAAUCCCAUACCGUAUGGUCGGCUAUAAAAGGCUCCGACAUGAAAAAUGUGAAACAAUUCAAUUAAGAAAACUAACGGCCUAAUUUAUAACAAAACAGUUUACGAAAAACAAAUAUGACAGACAUGAACCAACGACAACAACUGAACUAAAGGCUCCUGACUUGGGACAGGCACAUACAGAAUGCGGCGGGGUUAAACAUGUUUGUUAGCGCUUUUACAUACUUUGGAAACUUGUUUUUUAAUAGAUGUUUCAUAUCUUUCAUGCCUACUGCGAAAAAAAUAAAUUUAAGGUUUUUUAUUCGGAGGUGUUCUCAUGUGGCUUCAAGAUUUGCAAGGGCUUCAUUGAUAUAUUGUUUUAUCUGCAGCUCUAGUUGUAGCAUUAUCCGUGGAAAUUUCUGCAGCUUUCGCAUCGUCUGCAUUGAAAUCGCCAUGGUCAGGCCCAUAAUUCAUUUGGUAAGUUCAGGUUCCUCUACUGCCCGAACAGGAGUAGGCGGCUCCUGAUCCCCACCAGCAGGAAGAUCUUUGAUUAUUUUAGCAGCCAUAUACUAGACAGCAGAUAACCAGAAAGCCGGAGCACCAAAAUAAAAAAAAAAAAAAAACGAAAAAAAAAAA